AACUAACUCAGCAUCUUUAAUUCUUCCACACACCUGGACUAAUGUAAACUAAUCUGACAUCCCUCUACUCUCAUCCACAGGUAAUCUCUGGCUCUGAUCCCAGUUAACCUCUGCAACGCUGUUUGUCUUACCCCUGCACCCCACGUAUUUAGGUAAUCUCUGGCUCUGAUCCCAGUUAACCCUUGCAACGCUGUCUGACUU